rnacentral:ncRNA from 1 species
AGUUACUUAAUUGAACUAUUUGGGUCAAUGAGACGACUCUAAGUGGGCCAUUUUGGUAGCAGAACUGGCGAUGAGGGAUGACCUAACGCUCGGUUAAGGUGCUAAACUGCUCGCUCAUCAGAUACCACAAAGGGUGUUGGUCGAUCUUAACAGCAGGACGGUGGUCAUGGAAGUCGAAAUCCGCUAAGGAGUGUGUAACAACUCACCUGCCGAAUCGACUAGCCCCGAAAAUGGAUAGCGCUGAAGCGAGUGACCGAUACCGGGCCAUUGUUGCAAGAUAAUUGGCAACAAUGAGUAGGAGGGCGUGGGGGUUGUGAAGAAGCUUGGACGUGAGUCUGAGUGAAACAGCUUCCAGUGCAGAUCUUGGUGGUAGUAGCAAGUAUUCAAUAAGAGAACAUUGAAGGCCGAAGUGGGGAAGGGUUCCAUGUGAACAGCACUUGGACAUGGGUUAGCCGAUCCUGAGAGACAGGUUAAAUUCCAUCGGAUUGGAGCUUUGGCUCUGUUUCUCGAAAGGGAAGCUGGUUAGUAUUCCAGCGCCGAGACGUGGAUAAUAUGUGGCAACACAAGUGAACUCGGACACGCCAUAGGGGACCCCAGGAAGCGUUGUCUUUUCUUUUUAACAGUUCGACUUACCCUGGAAUCAGAUCAUCUGGAGAUAGGGUUUUCGAACUGGAAUAGCACCUUGUCUAACAGGGUGUCUGGAGUGUUCUCGCUGGCCCUUGAAAAUCCGAGGGAUAGAUUUAUUCGCACUCUCGAUCGUACCCAUAACCGCAUCAGGUCUCCAAGGUUAGAAGCCUCUGGUCCGUAGGACAAAGUAGAUAAGGGAAGUCGGCAAAAUAGGUCCGUAACUUCGGGAAAAGGACUGGCUCUGAGGUUUGGUAUGUGGAACCUGGAUUAAUCGUUGGAGUCGAGCAGAGACUACUUGUUGCUCACGUGACUUGUGGACUCCUUGCUUGAUACCUUCAAUUGAUCCAGGCUGCUUCGGCGCUCUGCAUGCACUUAACAAACAGCUCAGAACUGGAGCGGACAAGGGAAUCCGACUGUUUAAUCAAAACAAAGCAUUGUGAUGGCCUCAAAAG